AAAUUGAAGAGUUUGAUCAUGGCUCAGAUUGAACGCUGGCGGCAGGCCUAACACAUGCAAGUCGAACGGUAACAGGAAGCAGCUUGCUGCUUUGCUGACGAGUGGCGGACGGGUGAGUAAUGUCUGGGAAACUGCCUGAUGGAGGGGGAUAACUAGUGGAAACGGUAGCUAAUACCGCAUAACGUCGCAAGACCAAAGAGGGGGACCUUCGGGCCUCUUGCCAUCGGAUGUGCCCAGAUGGGAUUAGCUAGUAGGUGGGGUAA
rnacentral:rRNA from 1 species